rnacentral:rRNA from 1 species
AGAGUUUGAUCCUGGCUCAGAACGAACGCUGGCGGCAGGCUUAACACAUGCAAGUCGAACGCGUGUAGCAAUACACGAGUGGCGCACGGGUGAGUAACGCGUGGAUAUCUGCCUUUUGGUUCGGAAUAACCCCGGGAAACUGGGGCUAAUACCGGAUGGUUCCUACGGGAUAAAGAUUUAUCGCCAAAAGAUGAGUCCGCGUACGAUUAGCUAGUUGGUGAGGUAAUGGCUCACCAAGGCGACGAUCGUUAGCUGGUCUGAGAGGACGAUCAGCCACACUGGGACUGAGACACGGCCCAGACUCCUACGGGAGGCAGCAGUGGGGAAUAUUGGACAAUGGGGGCAACCCUGAUCCAGCCAUGCCGCGUGAGUGAUGAAGGCCUUCGGGUUGUAAAGCUCUUUUGGCGGGGACGAUGAUGACGGUACCCGCAGAAUAAGCCCCGGCUAACUUCGUGCCAGCAGCCGCGGUAAGACGAAGGGGGCUAGCGUUGUUCGGAAUUACUGGGCGUAAAGCGCGUGUAGGCGGUUGUCCAAGUUGGAUGUGAAAGCCUUGAGCUUAACUCAAGAAAUGCAUUCAGGACUGGAUGACUAGAGGACCGGAGAGGAUAGUGGAAUUACCAGUGUAGUGGUGAAAUACGUAGAGAUUGGGAAGAACACCAGUGGCGAAGGCGGCUAUCUGGACGGUUUCUGACGCUAAGACGCGAAAGCGUGGGGAGCAAACAGGAUUAGAUACCCUAGUAGUCC